CAGUCGCCACGGUAAUACGAAGGGGGCUAGCGUUGCUCGGAAUCACUGGGCGUAAAGGGUGCGUAGGCGGCCCCGCCAGUCUCAUGUGAAAUCUUCAGGCUCAACUUGAAGUCUGCAUGGGAAACUGCGGGGCUAGAGUAUGGCAGAGGGGGGUAGAAUUCCACGUGUAGCAGUGAAAUGUGUAGAGAUGUGGAGGAAUACCGAUGGCGAAGGCAGCCCCCUGGGCCAAUACUGACGCUCAUGCACGAAAGCGUGGGGAGCAAACAGGAUUAGAUACCCCGGUAGUCCCUGUCUCUUAUAC
rnacentral:rRNA from 1 species